CUCGGCAAACGGCUCAGUAACACGUGGGUAACCUACCCUCAGGACAGGGAUAACCCCGGAAAACUGGGGAUAAUACCUGAUAGGUGGAUAUGUCUGGAACGACUUUCCGCUCAAAUGCUCCGGCGCCAAAGGAUGGGCCUGCGACCGAUUAGGUUGUUGGCGGUGUAAUGGACCACCAAGCCUGCGAUCGGUACGGGCGUUGAGAGACGUAGCCCGGAGAUGGGAACUGAGACACGGUCCCAGGCCCUACGGGGCGCAGCAGGCGCGAAAACUCCGCAAUACACGAAAGUGUGACGGGGGGACCCCAAGUGCAUUCACGCAAGUGAAUGCUUUUGUGAAGUGUAAAUAGCUUCACGAAUAAGAGCUGGGUAAGACCGGUGCCAGCCGCCGCGGUAACACCGGCAGCUCGAGUGGUGAUCACUAUUAUUGGGCCUAAAGCGUCCGUAGCCGGUUUGGUAAGUCCUUGGGCAAAUCCUACCGCUUAACGGUAGGAAUUCUGGGGAUACUGCCAGACUUGAGGCCGAGAGAGGUCGGAGGUACUUCAGGGGUAGCGGUGAAAUGCUAUAAUCCCUGGGGGACCACCAGUGGCGAAAGCGUCCGACCAGAGCGGGCCUGACGGUAAGGGACGAAAGCCAGGGGAGCGAACGGGAUUAGAUACCCCGGUAGUCCUGGCCGUAAACGCUGCAUGCUAGGUGUUGCAUGCUCUACGGG
rnacentral:rRNA from 1 species